CCCAGACUCCUACGGGAGGCAGCAGUGGGGAAUAUUGGGCAAUGGGCGAAAGCCUGACCCAGCAACGCCGCGUGAAGGAAGAAGGCUUUCGGGUUGUAAACUUCUUUUGACAGGGAAGAGCAGAAGACGGUACCUGUCGAAUAAGCCACGGCUAACUACGUGCCAGCAGCCGCGGUAAUACGUAGGGGGCAAGCGUUAUCCGGAUUUACUGGGUGUAAAGGGGGCGCAGACGGCGAUGCAAGCCAGGAGUGAAAGCCCGGGGCCCAACCCCGGGACUGCUCUUGGAACUGCGUGGCUGGAGUGCAGGAGGGGCAGGCGGAAUUCCUAGUGUAGCGGUGAAAUGCGUAGAUAUUAGGAGGAACACCAGUGGCGAAGGCGGCCUGCUGGACUGCAACUGACGUUGAGGCUCGAAGGCGUGGGGAGCAAACAGGAUUAGAUACCCCGGUAU
rnacentral:rRNA from 1 species